CAACUAUCACAUUUUGACCAGGUGUAACUUCUCGUUAAGGUUAAGUCGGCUCAUUUCUCCAUUCCAUAUUCUAGCACAGCCAUCCUCUUUGUUCCUAAAUGGAUAUUUUUUUUAAAGUGUUAUUUUGUGCUCUGUGCAAUGUUUAGAACAUGCAUUGUUCAUGCAGCAGUAGGCAAUCAUGAUCCAAAAUCUAAUUGGUGUACAAAACUGGACGGCAUAUUGGGAACUCCAAAAAACAGGUCAGCCAAUAGCGACUGCCAUGACCAGUGAUGAACAUGCCAUGUGGCCUUGAGGAGUGUAAAUUUAGUACAUUUUAAUUUGUAUGCCCAAACUAGCUCAGCACACAGAAUGACUGUGUGAUGGGUGAAGUUGACCUAAGUGUCUCUUUAAAUCUGGAUAUUGAUAUAGUAAAGUGUUUUGGACAAUCUCAGGGCUUUCUUCAACUGAAUAGUAAGAAAUGACAGUAUAGAUCAGCUGUAACAUUGCCUUAUCUAAUUAGAAGUCCUUGAAACUGUUACCCAAAUUGUAAUGGAGGAGAAAAAGUAAUUUGGUCACUAUCUGCUUUGCUUUCCUACUUUAAAUAAUAGCUGUAAAUUCCUACACACUAUACCAGUGUGCAUGUAUGUUUGUGAACUAACUUUAUUUUUUUGUUGUUGUUGUAGUCCUUACAAGGAAAUUGCACUCCUGUAAAUGGUCAAUUUUAGGCAUAUUUACAGAUUGCUAAAUGUUUGUGUCAUCUAGCAUUCCAGCAUUUCCCUCUUAUGGGUCAAACUCGAAUGCACUGAUCUUCGCUAUAAGUCAAUGCACUUCGUUAGACUAGGAGGUUAUAGACAUCACCUGGUCUUUCUCAUUCUACCACAGCAUUAAGUCUGCUUUUGCCAUUACAGUAUGGUUGAUCAGUGAGUUCAGUGGACUUAACUGAGGUUUUCUUUUUGGGCACUGUUUGUUUUUGUUUGUUUUGUUUUUUCCCCCAGAGUGACCUGGUCCUUUAUCAACAAAAUGCAAAGUUAUGUCAAGGUCUUGAGAUUUGUUUUGAACUCAUAACCUGUGUGUAUGCAUUGUCAAAUAUGUAAGUCAUUCUGAUUCAUUGCCACAAAGCUCGGUCAGUUAGUUACUAAUGUUUUGGUUAAUUAAAUGGUGAUUUAAGCACAAUGAAAAAAAGUUUACAUUGCCAUUGAAGUGAGUUUGCAACUUGCUUUUUAAUUUUUAUUUUUUUUUUUUUUUUUUUUUUUUUUUUUUUUAUAAAUGGUUUUAAUUUUUGGUUGUAAAUAUCUUUUGUACAGUGUAUAUUUCUUUUUUUUUCUUCUGGUUCUUAUAAGGGCCAUUUUUACAGAAUAAAUGACAAUACAACAUCUAGUCUCAAGUUUGUAUUAUUUUGAAAUCUUUAUGAAUUGAAGUGUUUUUGUAAUUUCAAAGCUGCAUGAUACUGGAACUAUGUACCCAUUGUGGCAGGCAGUCUUUUUGGACCUUCACCAUGCGACAAUAGUUUUGUUACCAGUUCAAUUGGUGGACAAAGGAAUACUGUUUGCAGUCAGCCCCGGUCUAUAUAAUGUGAAUGAAAUUUUCCAAUGAUAACUACCAAGAUUAAAAUGACUAAAUUUAGUAUUUGUGAUGUCAACGUGGUGUCCUCCGAGAGGUGACCUGCUUCAUGUAAAAUAAGACCAUUGGUAUUACAACUAUUAUUUCAUUUGCAACUUAAAUGUAAAAUGCAUUAUCAAAAAUCCUUAUUGUUGCCUACCUCACAAGUUUAUUACUAAUUUCAUGUCUGUAUAUGAUUGAAGAGUUUCUUUUAUGCUUUUGUUGAACAUUUUAUUAAACAUUUGUUUAGACUAAUAAGACUUUUUAGUCUAAUGAGGAAAAAAUACUGAGACUACCUUUACUUUUACAUAGAAAAACUUUUAAUUAUAUGUUUGUGGAGAGGGUUAAAUGUAAAGAAAACGGAUAGAAAGCAACGAUUUAAGUGCGAAAUCAUCCGCUUUCACCGUCCACCUCAGAAUAACCCUCUCUCUCCAGAUUGAAAACUGGUUGUUGUCUCGGUCGUAAUUGGCCGUUUCGGAGGCACAUUGUCCGUUGCUUUUGAGCUCGCAGGUGUACGUAGUAAGCCACUGAAUCCGGAGAGGCUCCCUUGGACCACUUUGUUCUCUUUUCUCGCUUCCCGCUGUGCGGAAAAUUAGCGUUGCCGUCGUUUCUCCCCGUUUUCUCCUCGGGUUUAACCCCCUCAACCCCUAAUGUCAUUCUCAUGAAAAUGUAAGAUCUCGCUGCGGCUAAUCGGAGGACGAAGGGAGGGGAAGAGCGUGUACUUUACAUUUAACUUACCCUGAUAACAGUUCAGGCGUGUUCCCAAGUUAGAUGAAGUAAAUCAUUAUCCAUUAUAAUAAAAAAAAAAAUUAAAGGAAGAAAAUUAAGCCCACGUUGUUUGGCGUAUCGUCAGACGGCUUGUUGUUUGGGGGGUUAAGAGGGCGACUGUGGGUGUCUAGAUGGGUGGGGGUGCUGGAUGCUCUGCUGAGAAACACAGAAUCACUUAGCAACGAGCACUCAGGCUUCAACAAACUGUUACCAUGGUAAAUUGUUGGGUUGCCAGUUUGCAAGCCUAAAGCCAAAAUUCGAUGUCAAGGAACUGACUGAAUGAGCACGAUAUCUGUGGUAUGCUUUAAGCUGAUUGACUUGCUAAGUCGCGUUUUUAUUAUUACCAUUAUCAUUUAAAAAAAGUUUUAAAUCAGUUGACAGCUAUUUCGUCAUAAACCCGGAAACGAGAUUAAUGGUUGCUGUGGAAACUAGGGGGUGCGUAAUAUUUACAUGCAUUCCGAGGAAGCCGCUCCCCUCCUGCACGCACACACGCACAGCCUUCACUCCCCAACAGAAAAAACACCAGCUUGGUUGACAUGAGGAAGACAGAACAACCAACUCUGCUAGACCCACAGGAGACUCAUUGCUACAGUUACAAUGGAGCAGAGAGAAUUAAGCACAUAAGAAACAUGAGGUACGUAGUACAAGUAACUGCAGUGAGGGAUUGUGUGUUUUAAGUAGCAUUGAAAAUGACAGAUACUAUACUAUAUACAAAAAAACAGAGCACUGAUCCAGAUAUUCAGUGCUUUUUAAAACAGCACAAUUAAAUAUCAGCAGCCCUGGGAGAAUUAAAGUCACAUCUGGCUUGACGGGCUUUAUUCGUCAACAUUUAACCACAUUUUUGCUUUUGCAAAAAAGAAAGAAGUCAUCCAACUCUUUGUAGUCAGUUAAAUCAUUCUUUUUAUUAGGAUUUCAGGCUACCUGAUUUCAGACUUCUUGA